ensembl:lncRNA
CACACACACACACACACACACACACACGAACAUACUCACACACACACACAAGAACAUACACACAGACACUCUCCUCAGUUCUACGCCAGUCGGACCAAUACCAAACUCAACCAGUAUAAAACAUCCCAACACCAACACCCCUCCCUCCCCCCCCUCACUCCUCAUGUGGUUCCUCUCUCUCUCCCUCACCUCUCCAUCAUGUCUUACGCCUUGGAGGAGUGUUCGUUCAUCCCUCUCUCUCUCUCUCCCUCACCGCUCCAUCAUGUCUUACACCUUGGAGGAGUGUUUGUUCAUCCCUCUCUCUCUCUCUCUCCCUCACCUCUCCAUCAUGUGGUUCUCUCCAUCAUGUCUUACGCCUUGGAAGAGUGUUUGUUCAUCCCUCUCUCUCUCUCUCCCUCACCACUCCAUCAUGUGGUUCUCUCCAUCAUGUCUUACGCCUUGGAGGAGUGUUCGUUCAUCUAUCCCUCUCUCUCCCUCCCUCCUUCUUUCUCUCUAACACACACACACACACACACACAUCUAUCUGUCUCUUCAGGCGAGUAUAGUAUCUAUUCAGCGUUCAAUUGACCCUUUCUCCACCCCAGGUCGCCAUCAAUCAAUCAAUCAAAACAACAAUCAAUCAAUCAAUCAAUCAAUCAAUCACUGUCAGUCAGUCAGUCAGUCAAUCAGUUGGUCACUCUUAGAAUGAAGGAACUGGGUAAAAAAAAAGAGAGGGAAAGAUGGAGGGAUGAAGGGAGGGGAGGGAAGGGUUUGCGGUUUUCAUUUGACAGAUGAUGAAAAUGUUAGAAGAAGAAGUGGAGGAAAAAAGAAAAGAGAAUCUGUCACCGAGGGGUUCAUAGGUGAUGGAUUAUGAAAUUAUAUCAUUUAAUAUAAACAUUCAGCCACGUAAUCUGCUCAACAGAUUAGGGUAGUGGCGAAAUGAUGAUGAAAUUACUUAAUAGUUUUACGUUGUUGUUGUUGUUGUUGUUGACAAUGACGAUGGUGAUGAUGAUGAAGAUGAUGACUAUUUGUGGGCCAAAUGUAUCAAAUGUGUUGUAUAUCCUGUCCGCACAGGAUGCUCUUUUUUUUUUUUUUUAAGAAAAGAUGCUCUUUUUGUGUUACUUCCUGGUGGUUGUAUGUACUUGUUUGUUUUUCCUGUUUGGUCCUUGUUGAAGUGGGGUGCGUCCGCCAACCACAUCAUCACUCGCACCCUAUCGCCUUACUUUGGAGUGCCCUGUUUGGAUGCACUGAACUGAAGGAUUUCCUGUAUUCCUUGGAUAGGGAACAAUGAAGUAGUUUUGGUUUGCUGCCACUGGGUGUGUGUGUGUUUGUGUGUGUGUGUGUGUGUGUGUUAGUGUGUGAGAGAGUCAGAGUGGCUAUGUGUCAAAAGCUGCUUCAGCUACCUUCAUACACACACACAUACACGCUGCCACUGGGUGUGAACUCAGUGGUGUGUGUAGGUCAGAGUGGCUGUGUGUCAAAAGCUGCUUUAGCUACCUCCACACACACACAUACACGCUUAUACAUCCGAACUCUGGCAUCAUUUUCCUGGGGGCAAAAAAAAUACAAGGUCUUACCCUCCAUUGCAAAUCACAAUCAGGAACAUAACUCAUUCCAAUAAGGGCGAAGUUCACCGUUGUCUUUGUCUCGUUUUCAGUCACUUUAAUUUCUUCACCUGGUUGCACUUGGGUAUCUGAAGGGUAGAUUAGGACGGGUGGGGGAAUAUCUAAAGAUUUGCCUUUUUUUUCGUUUUGGGAUCUUGACUUUAUUUUACUCUGCUUUACCUGUUUCAAAAUGUGUGCACUCGUCUUUGUACACAAAUGCAGCUGAUCUCUGUACCCGGGUCCGGUCCGGGUCUGGUUCCGGGUCCGGUUCUGUUGCGGCUAGAGUCCGGGCCAUAUUAGAACCGGCUCCGUUUCGGGCCACCUGCAGGGAGGAGCUUUGGAGGCUCGCAGUAAUUGUUGGCACGAGAGUGUGAAUGUUCGUUUGAGGAACAUGUUGUUUUUAAAAGAAAUUACUGAAGGAAAAAAAAAAAGUCAGAUUACUGAAGGUUUUUGUGUGUUUUUUUUUGUGUGCACCUAGAAAUUCAUUGAAUUGAAUUGUUUCGAGGGGCAUAAUCCACGGAGCUCUUUUGAAAUUCCAGCCACAAAUUUGCAGGAAAUCAACUAAUUCUUUUAAGAUAAAAAAAAAGCCACGCUGAGAAGAGAGAAAACUGGCCUUUUCUCCUGGCUCUGCCCGUGUGGCUGAUUUAAAUGUCCGGGUGUGGAUGGGGAAAUAGUGGAAUUGAGUUUUUAAACUAAUAAACAAAAUAAGUUUUGAGUUUUUAAUUUACACGGUUUUCGACCCAUUUGAUGUCACCAUCCAGAUAUCCAGACUGUAGAAAAAAAAAACACAAAAGCUGUAAUUCAGAAACAUUUUAUCUCUCUGUUCGGUACUUAUGGCAACAUCAGCGGCGCUUUCUAUUAAUGGUUAUUGAUAUGUUUUUUUGUUUUUCGAGUUUAUUUUUUUCCCUCUUUUGUAAGAUGUGCUGUCACUGUAACUGUGUUCACAGUUUUCCUUAUUUUGUUUGUUUGAGUUUUGUUUUGUAGUAAACUGCCAAACGCUGAUUUAAAUAAAAGAUGGUGAUUUAUAAAAGUGGUGGUGAGUCCCUUUUAAUAUGGUGUGAGUUAGUUGUUGUGAGUGUGUGUGUGUGUGUACUUGCAUGUGCGUGUCUAGGUGUGAGCUUGCUGUGUGUGUGUGUGUGUGUGUGU